GCCAAAAAUCAAGUAUGGCGAAAUCUGUGAAUGAUUCUUGCACUGGUGCUUUCUCCAACGGGUCCUAAACUUUACACUUUGGAUAGAGUGGAGCUGCUGCUGCGUACGGAGACUGGAUAGAAAUCACCACAUUCAUGAGGGUGUUUGUUCAGCUAGGUUACAUUCAGCGCCAACAUUCAGAUUUGGACAACAAUAUCCGGAAAUGGUCAGAGGAGACCUGUACCAGGGAAUGAUGCAGUCCAUGUCCAUGAGGAGGAGGACACUGAAGGCAGAUGUGCUCCGGAAGGCCUGCAGGAUGGGGAGGGCCAAGAAGGUGUGUCCUUCUUAGAGUAAGAUGCCGUUGAUGCUGAGCUACUCUGAGAAGACGAGGAUGAAGAGAAUGAGAUCAAGGAGCCAGAGGAAGUUGAGAAGACACCACCUCUCAACACAUAACUGAUGUGUCAUUGUUAUCUAUUAUC
rnacentral:lncRNA from 1 species